GGUUAAAUGGAGUGGAGCUUACCAGCAAGGGGCCGGAUUGACACUUGGCGAGGAGGUUGAGCAGUGUAACGCCUUCCUCUCUAGGAUUGCUGUGACCACGAAGCACAUGUCCAAAGCAGGACAUACUGACAUGCUUACAUUGAUGGCCAUGCGCUGGAAUCAGCAAAAGUUUAAUAACUUGGCUACUUCACUUGCCUGCCGAUAUCAGAAGGCCACAAAACGUCUGGAAAGCCAACUUCAGGACCUGGAAAGCAUGAGAAUCCAGCUGGCAGUGACACAGGUUGAAGUUGAGGGCUGGGUCAC